UAGUGAUAUGGAUGUAAUCCAGCUAUA
rnacentral:piRNA from 1 species